rnacentral:lncRNA from 1 species
UAAAAUGUUACGCUAAUGAAUGACAACAAUAUAAAUGUACUAAUAAGCAAUUCAUAACACAUAUCACUUUAAUACCAAUAUAAACAAUUAAAGAAAAAAUAAAAUAAAUAAAUAAUAAAACAAAUAAUGACGAUGAUAACAAAAAUAGUUCUAAUGACAAAAUAUGUGCAUGAAAUGACAAUACCAAUUUUUAAAUAUAAUGAAG